ACGUUGUUGUGAAAGCCAGGUCAGUGGUUCCAGUCAGCGUAGCACAGACACAGAAGUGCUUCCGGUUAAGGAUGCUGAAGAAGUCAAACUUUUUAAGAACUAAAACUCUAUGAAGAUCUACCAAGAAAGCGACUAGACUGUCACGGUUUAAGGUUUAACGGAUAGAGUGAUAACUUAGAGAAUGGUCAUAAAUACAUUACGGUUGACAAGAAACGACAUUUCUAGCUAAAAUAUUUCUAUUGGCUAAUUACUAUCUGAUUCUCAGCAGUCAAGUUUGCUCGAGUGUCUACAUUGCUGUACUGGGUGACGAUGUAAAAUAUUUCGGCUGUUAAUGUAACAGCCCAUAAAUGUAUCUGGCUAGCUAGCGAAAUGUUACAAUAACUUGUAUGGUUGCAGUCCACUUCGUUGUGUCAGCCAUCUAUUUGGAAAUAUAACGUUAGCUAACGAUAUAUUUUUGGCUUGCUACACGUCGAUAUCAUCUCCUUGCUGAGUAUAACCGUGCUAUACUUGCAAGCGUCGGCUUUUAGUUCGCAAUGGAGUGUAGUUCAUCAAUGAGCUUUGUACAGCCACCGCAAAAAUCAGUUGACCUUGUGCGCCCUCAUGCUAAGUCACGACCAACAAGAAAAAAUGUCAGUAUGUCAAUAAUCUCUAGACGAUAUGGUAUUUUCUACAAAGAUGCUGGAACAUUGCUCAGAAAAAAUAUGAAAAUUCUUCGACAAAUUGUUCUUCAGGACACCACGAAUUUCACAAAGGUCUGGGCAAUGCAUUCAAAGUCCCCAAUCGCAUAUGAAAGUGGAAGAAUUUACUUUGAAAACUACCGGUGUUGCUACAGUAGUUGUCCUUCUAAGCCACAAUUCCUUUAUGAAUUACCAAAACGCACCAAGGCGGAAAAGUUAGAAGAUGCAUUAUUGUGUCAAUGUCCGCUUGUAAGUAAAUUCUGACAUCUU